UACGUAGGUGGCAAGCGUUGUCCGGAUUUACUGGGCGUAAAGAGCGCGCAGGCGGUCGUUCAAGUCGAGUGUGAAAGCCCCCGGCUCAACUGGGGAGGGUCACUCGAUACUGAUCGACUCGAAGGCAGAAGAGGGAAGCGGAAUUCCCGGUGUAGUGGUGAAAUGCGUAGAUAUCGUAAGGAAGACCAGUGGCGAAGGCGGGUCUCUGGACAGUUCCUGACGCUGAGGCACGAAGGCCAGGGGAGCAAACGGG
rnacentral:rRNA from 1 species